rnacentral:rRNA from 1 species
UGGGGAAUAUUGGACAAUGGGCGAAAGCCUGAUCCAGCCAUGCCGCGUGUGUGAAGAAGGUCUUCGGAUUGUAAAGCACUUUAAGUUGGGAGGAAGGGCAGUAAGCGAAUACCUUGCUGUUUUGACGUUACCGACAGAAUAAGCACCGGCUAACUCUGUGCCAGCAGCCGCGGUAAUACAGAGGGUGCAAGCGUUAAUCGGAAUUACUGGGCGUAAAGCGCGCGUAGGUGGUUCGUUAAGUUGAAUGUGACAGCCCCGGGCUCAACCUAGGAACUGCAUCCAAAACUGGCGAGCUAGAGUAGGGCAGAGGGUGGUGGAAUUUCCUGUGUAGCGGUGAAAUGCGUAGAUAUAGGAAGGAGCACCAGUGGCGAAGGCGACCACCUGGGCUCAUACUGACACUGAGGUGCGAAAGCGUGGGGAGCAAACAGG